rnacentral:tRNA from 1 species
GGUGGAAUAGCUCAGUUGGUUAGAGCGUGUGGCUGUUAACCACAAGGUCGGAGGUUCAAACCCUUCUUCUAGCG